UACGUAGGGUGCAAGCGUUGUCCGGAAUUACUGGGCGUAAAGAGCUCGUAGGUGGUUUGUCGCGUUGUUCGUGAAAACUCACAGCUCAACUGUGGGCGUGCGGGCGAUACGGGCAGACUUGAGUACUGCAGGGGAGACUGGAAUUCCUGGUGUAGCGGUGGAAUGCGCAGAUAUCAGGAGGAACACCGGUGGCGAAGGCGGGUCUAUGGGCAGUAACUGACGCUGAGGAGCGAAAGCGUGGGGAGCGAACAGG
rnacentral:rRNA from 1 species